UACGGGGGGGGCAAGCGUUGUUCGGAAUUACUGGCGUAAAGGGCGCGUAGGCGGCCACCGCAAGUCAGUUGUGAAAUCUCUGGGCUUAACCCAGAACGGUCAGCUGAUACUGCGGGGCUAGAGUGCAGAAGGGGCAACUGGAAUUCUCGGUGUAGCGGUGAAAUGCGUAGAUAUCAAGAGGAACACCUGAGGUGAAGACGGGUUGCUGGGCUGAUACUGACGCUGAGGCGCGAAAGCUAGGGUAGCAAACGGG
rnacentral:rRNA from 1 species